AGAAAGAAAAAAAGACGAUGUCAACUUCCCAAGGCUUUUCAGCGUCAAGAAAGAGGAAUUUGAAGGGAAAGUUCAAGUCUGGGUGGCCAGAAGUUACAUUUCAGUGACCUGGUUACCGCCUCUCUCUGCAAACCCAAAGGAUCACUUUUCUCAGUGGAUCUACCCCAAUCAUCAUUAACGGGACCCCAGUGGAGAGAGUGAGCAGCUUCAAUACCUUCAAAUGCCCUGCAAAGAGUAGCUGAGCACAUGUCCAGAACAUCUCUCCCCUCUCUGCAAGACAUCCACACCAGAAGAUGUAAAUCUAGGACUGUUAAGAUCCUUAAAGACCCCACCCACCCUGGAAAUCCACUGUUUCAUCUGCUACAGUCAGACAGACGCUUCUGCAGUCUGAUGGCAAAAACAGAGAGGCUCAGGAGGAGUUUCUUCCCUCAUGUUAUCAGACUACUAAACAUGGACAUUAAACACACUGCACUUUAUAGACUGGUUGUUUAGGGCUACCCAAUAACUCUCUGCACACUGCUUUUUUGACAACCUAACUAUGCAACUCAUCCUCACUGCACAUUGUCUACAUCUCUGCACAUCAUCUGUGUAGCAGUUUCUAUGUAGCAUCUCUACAAAUCAUCUGUGUAGUAGUUUAAUACAGUAUAUUGUGUAUAUUUUAUACAGUAUAUUUUUUUCUGCACAGUCUAAAAAGAGUAUGCCAGACCUACAUUUCACUGCUUUUUGCAUGUCAUAUAACAAAUAAAACUUGAAUUUUUAAUGGUGUGGAGUGUUACCUGUGAUUGAGUUGGUGAUAAAAAGGAGAUGGGGAAAAGAGUGUCUUAAAUUUGACUUUGGUACCAAUAAUAUUUUCCUCUUAAGUCUUGGAAUGUUUUUUUUCAUUAUUAUUAAUUCUUGUAUUACUAUUUAGAUUUUUUUUUAUUUUUUUUAUUUUUUAUUAAAUGUUUAUUUGUAAAUUUACUUCCACGUGUGGCUUUUUGUAAUGUUGAUUCACCUAGAGCCAAGGGGGUUGUAACAAUCUAAACAAUAUAAUUUCUCCCUCAGAUUUCAAACUUGCAUUAAAGAAAAACAUUAACAUACAGUAAACAUUUUAUUGCUCUAAAUUACUAAUUCAUUUUCUUGAUA